GACGAACGCUGGCGGCGUGCUUAACACAUGCAAGUCGAACGGAAAGGCCCUGCUCUUGUGGGGUGCUCAAGUGGCGAACGGGUGAGUAACACGUGAGUAACCUGUCCUUUACUUUGGGAUAACUUCAGGAGACUGGGGCUAAUACCGGAUAUGAGCUCCUGCUGCAUGGUGGGGGUUGGAAAGUUUCGGCGGUUGGGGAUGGACUCGCGGCUUAUCAUCUUGUUGGUGGGGUAGUGGCUUACCAAGGCUUUGACGGGUAGCCGGCCUGAGAGGGUGACCGGCCACAUUGGGACUGAGAUACGGCCCAGACUCCUACGGGAGGCAGCAGUGGGGAAUAUUGCACAAUGGGCGGAAGCCUGAUGCAGCAACGCCGCGUGCGGGAUGACGGCCUUCGGGUUGUAAACCGCUUUCGCGUGUGACGAAGAGUGAGUGACGGUAAUGGGUAAAGAAGCACCGGCUAACUACGUG
rnacentral:rRNA from 1 species